rnacentral:lncRNA from 1 species
AAAGACCAAAAAUAAUCGGAUAAGAACGGAUAGUGGUUGAUUUUAAUAUUGAGUUAAUGAUCAACUAAUACAAUAGCAAUAAAGGAAAGCGAUAAACAUAUUACACAUUACGAGAAUAGGGUACAACUUUGUUGAAUGGGAAUACAGUACAACAAUUAACAACAUAGGCUCAACAGACAACUGUAAAUAACAAAAAUCUCGUUGUAAGAAGGCCCAAGAGAAAUCCAAUGAACCAAAAAUGAAUUUGGAGUUUUGAACUAAUGAAUUU